rnacentral:rRNA from 1 species
UGGGGAAUUUUGCACAAUGUUCGCAAGAAUGAUGCAGCUACGCCGCGUGAAUGAAGAAGGCCUUCGGGUCGUAAAGUUCUUUCGCUAGGGAAGAAUGUAUAUGCAAGUAACUGUGCAUAUAGUGACGGUACCUAGAUAAGCAGCCCCGGCUAACUCCGUGCCAGCAGCCGCGGUAAUACGGAGGGGGCAAGCGUUGUUCGGAGUGACUGGGCGUAAAGAGCUCGUAGGCGGUGAUGUAAGUCAUUAGUCAAAGGCGACAGCUUAACUGUCGUAAGGCUAGUGAUACUAUAUUGCUAGAGUGUCGUAGAGGAUUACAGAAUUCCUAGUGUAGCGGUGAAAUGCGUAGAUAUUAGGAGGAAUACCUGUUGCGAAGGCGGUAAUCUGGUCGACAACUGACGCUGAGGAGCGAGAGCGUGGGGAGCAAACAGG